UACGUAGGUGGCAAGCGUUGUCCGGAAUUACUGGGCGUAAAGCGCGCGUAGGCGGCUUUGUAAGUUAGAGGUGAAAGCCCGGAGCUCAACUCCGGAACUGCCUUUAAAACUGCAUCGCUUGAAUCCAGGAGAGGUGAGUGGAAUUCCGAGUGUAGAGGUGAAAUUCGUAGAUAUUCGCAAGAACACCAGUGGCGAAGGCGGCUCACUGGCCCGAUACUGACGCUGAGGCACGAAAGCGUGGGGAGCAAACAGG
rnacentral:rRNA from 1 species